GGGUCCAGGCCCUACGGGCGCAGCAGGCGCGAAAACUUUGCAAUGUGCGAAAGCACGACAAGGUUAAUCCGAGUGCAACAUGCUGAAUGUAGCUUUUGGUAAAUGUAAAUAGUUUAUUGAAUAAGGGGAGGGAAAGUCUGGUGUCAGCCGCCGCGGUAAUACCAGCUCCCCGAGUGGUCGGGACGAUUAUUGGGCCUAAAGCAUCCGUAGCCUGUUCUGUAGGUCUUAUGUUAAAAUCAAUUGCUCAACAAUUGAACUGCAUGAGAUACCACAAAACUAGGAGGCGGGAGAGGUGGACGGUACUCCACGGGUAGGGGUAAAAUCCUCUGAACCGUGGAAGACCACCAGUGGCGAAGGCGGUCCACCAGAACGCGCUCGACGGUGAGGGAUGAAAGCUGGGGUAGCGAACCGGAUUAGAUACCCGGGUAGUCCCAGCUGUAAACGAUGCAAGCUAGGUGAUGCAUCAGCCACGUGUUGAUGCAGUGCCGCAGGGAAGCCGUUAAGCUUGCCGCCUGGGGAGUACGGUCGCAAGGCUGAAACUUAAAGGAAUUGGCGGGGGAGCACCACAAGGGGUGAAGCCUGCGGUUCAAUUGGAGUCAACGCCGGGAACCUUACCAGGAGAGACAGCAGAGUGAAGGUCAAGCUGAAGACUUUACCAGACAAGCUGAGAGGAGGCGCAUGGCCGUCGACAGCUCGUGCCGUGAGGCGUCCUGUUAAGUCAGGCAACGAGCGAGACCCUUGCCAUUAAUUGCUUCCAUCGAUCGAAAGGUUGGCGGAGCUAGUUAAUGGGACUGCCGUUGAUAAAACGGAGGAAGGAAGGGGCCACGGCAGGUCAGUAUGCCCCGAAACUCUUGGGCCACACGCGGGCUGCAAUGGUAGGCACAAUAGGUACCGAAUUCGAGAGAAUGAGGCAAUCCCAAAAUCCUACCCCAGUUGUGAUUGAGGGCUGCAACUCGCCCUCAUGAAUCUGGAAUCCCUAGUAACCGCGUGUCAACAUCGCGCGGUGAAUACGUCCCUGCUCCUUGCACACACCGCCCGUCGCUUCACCCGAGUUGGGUUUGGGGGAGAUAGUGUCUUAUUGACAUUAUCGA
rnacentral:rRNA from 1 species